rnacentral:rRNA from 1 species
AUUGAACGCUGGCGGCAGGCCUAACACAUGCAAGUCGAACGAGUGGCGGACGGGUGAGUAAUGUCUGGGAAACUGCCCGCUGGAGGGGGAUAACUACUGGAAACGGUCGCUAAUACCGCAUACCAUCGGAUGUGCCCAGAUGGGCUUAGCGAGUAGGUGUGGUAAUGGCUCACCUGGGCGACGAUCCCUAGCUGGUCUGAGAGGAUGCCCAGCAACACUGGAACUGAGAAACGGUCCAGACUCAUACGUGAGGCAGCAGUGGGGAAUAUUGCACAAUGGGCGCAAGCCUGAUGCAGCCAUGCCGCGUGUAUGAAGAAGGCCUUCGGGUUGUAAAGGACUUUCAGCGGGGAGGCGUUACUCGCAGAAGAAGCACCGGCUAACUCCGUGCCAGCAGCCGCGGUAAUAC